rnacentral:rRNA from 1 species
UACGUAGGGUGCGAGCGUUAAUCGGAAUUACUGGGCGUAAAGCGUGCGCAGGCGGUUUUGUAAGUCAGAUGUGAAAUCCCCGGGCUUAACCUGGGAACUGCGUUUGAAACUACAAGGCUAGAGUGUGGCAGAGGGGGGUGGAAUUCCACGUGUAGCAGUGAAAUGCGUAGAGAUGUGGAGGAACACCGAUGGCGAAGGCAGCCCCCUGGGUUAACACUGACGCUCAGGCACGAAAGCGUGGGGAGCAAGCAGG